rnacentral:misc_RNA from 1 species
AAUCAAGAAUUAAUACAAUCAGAGGGACAAACUUAAAUUCACAUCAGGUUGAGACUUGAAGACUCUACCUGGUACAAUUGGAUUAACAGGGCUCAGACGUGUGAAUCCUCUUUGGCAUUAGCUCAUUCUGAUGACCUCAUUCUACAAGAACUGGCGAAAAUGUAGAUAGGAAGGAAGAUUGCCUUGAUUAAGACAGAGUCUGUAAGAGCAACAUGAUAACGACUGAGGCAGCAAACUGCAUAUAAAACACCAAAUCUUCACUAUAAAGGCCACUUUGACCAGAUGCAGCUGCUGGAAGUGCUGGAAUUUUCACAGUUUUAUUGCAUGAUGACG